CAUCCAAACAGACGUCCUCCUCUUCUAAAUAUGGCACCCUCUUUGCUGCAAACAAGAGAUUCUAAAAACGCAAGGUGCCUGACCUAUAAUGUGUCAAACCAAUUUACUUAUUAACUUUAAUAGUAUUAAAAACGCUUCUCCAGUGCUUCAAAGUGGCAUUCAGCAAUACAUCUGGUUAAUUGUAUGGCACUUCCCCCUUUUAAUCAAAUUGAGCUUCCAUUUCCUCAAUACCCGAGAGUGAAGUUAUUUCUGAAAUGUGGUUAAUUACACCCACCCAACAAUACAGUUAGGCUCCCAUUUGACAGCGACAUCGAAGUCCACGCUCGACUCGGAGUUUUAAAAUCAUUAAGUAAAGCGACUCAGUCCAGAAGGACAAUCGUGAAAACUGGACCGGAUCGGACUGGGGUGGACGAUCGGGAACAUCUGCACCAGUGAACAGAUUCCGCUGUUCUGUGAUGGAAAGCGGGUUGGGAGUAACAGUCAGGAAAGUCUUUUAAGUAACGGAAUUCUAAGCCGCUGACUUUCCUGGUGGGCUGAUGAAACCACAAGCAACAAUCAAUGCUUGUAUAACUGUCACUGCGUGCUAGACAGAGGCAUAUGAAAGGCGCUAUAUACUAAUCGGGGACAGCAGGAUGUGUAUUCGGAACAUACACACCUUCUGUAACAGAAGGAAAACAUGAGGCAGCUGCAUUCAACUCCCAGUCUGCUGCAUACAAACAAACAUGGAGCUGUCGAAGCGCUUUGUGCAGCUGCCGACCCUCUCGGGCGAGCGAGCGAGCGCAUUUAGUGUGUAGCGGACAGGGCGCGGCGCGGCGCGGCGCUUCUGCAUCUGCGUAUUCUUCAGGAUCGUCGUUUUCUUCUCAAAUGUUUUUGAACCCGUAUACGUGCGCUAGGACGGUGAAAGCCGAACAAUUACUCGGUGCAAAUGGAAUUCCGGUUCGCAAUUUUCAACAGAGACGCCGAAGAGAGACGCACCGGUAAUACUGGACGGACGGGUGCGUGGCGAAAGGAACCGAGAAACGCGUGGGAUCUGUGACAUCGCUGUGCAUGAGCGCCGAGCAAAGUUCACAGACUAUAAAGAAAGCAACCAUUCACGAGAAAUUCCGCCUGGCCCUAUUGACGUCACUUCCGGCGAAGAACCCAUGACUGAAGAGACUUCCUGUUCCAGCCCUUUUGAUGACGUCAAGUCCAGGUGAGUGUUGCCCACUGCCUACCAACUCUGACUCCCCCAGGUGAAGCGGUGGUCUUCUUUUAAAUUGGAUCCGGGACUGUUUCUGCUACCAUGGUGUGGGUCAACCAGAGCACUUGUGGGUCAUGAGGACACCAGGGCAGUCCUCCCCUGACAGUACCCUCUUGUGGCACUCAUGGAGCCCAACAGGGCUGUACUUCUGGACUCCAAUUCCCAUGCCACACUACAGGUGUCCUAAUUGGGAUCAGCCCAGCAGAAGACUGACACUUGCUGUGCAGGGAAAUUAAAUGCUACCAGCAUCCAUGUUCCCCCAGUCCAUCCAUUACUCUUCUCUCCCUGUCAUGAUGAAGAUGGUAAGGCAUUAUGGCCAGUUUACAUCUCCACUCCCUCUGUCCUUCCAUUAUGGUCUUCUGGCCAGGCAAGAAAUCAUUGUCCUAGGGUGGGGAUCGAUCUGUUCUUAACUC